UACGAAGGGGGCUAGCGUUGCUCGGAAUCACUGGGCGUAAAGCGUACGUAGGCGGCUUUUUAAGUCAGGGGUGAAAUCCUGGAGCUCAACUCCAGAACUGCCUUUGAUACUGAGAAGCUUGAGUCCGGGAGAGGUGAGUGGAACUGCGAGUGUAGAGGUAAAAUUCGUAGAUAUUCGCAAGAACACCAGUGGCGAAGGCGGCUCACUGGCCCGGUACUGACGCUGAGGUGCGAAAGCGUGGGGAGCAAACAGG
rnacentral:rRNA from 1 species